rnacentral:rRNA from 1 species
GACGAACGCUGGCGGCGUGCUUCAUACAUGCAAGUCGAACGAGAAGCUGACUUCGGUCAGUGGAAAGUGGCGGACGGGUGCGUAAUAUGUAGGAAAUCUGCCUUUAGGAGGGGGACAACAGAGGGAAACUUCUGCUAAUACCCCAUAUGAGCGUAGCUGAAAUGCUAUUCUUGAAAACUCCGGUGCCUAAAGAUGAGCCUGCAUCUGAUUAGCUAGUUGGUAGUGUAAUGGACUACCAAGGCGACGAUCAGUAGCUGGUUUGAGAGGAUGAUCAGCCACAAUGGGACUGAGACACGGCCCAUACUCCUACGGGAGGCAGCAGUAGGGAAUUUUGCGCAAUGGGCGAAAGCCGGACGCAGCAACGCCGCGUGAACGAUUAAGCCCUUCGGGGUGUAAAGUUCUGUCAGUGGGGACGAAACUUGACGGUACCCACAGAGGAAGCACCGGCUAACUCCGUG